AAGUCGUAACAAGGUCUCCGUAGGUGAACCUGCGGAGGGAUCAUUAACACGUAUCCAAUACGUCCACUCUUCAAACCCCAAACCGCGAACUAAAUAUCCCCACUCGGAUUUUCGACGAACUGUAGAUCAUGGGUGAUAGAGACGGCUUCGGCUGACUCUGUCUACAGUUCUGAGUGUCCAGGCUUUCGGGUCUGAGAUGCAGUCGGUCUGUUGUGGUUGUAUCCCUAGUCACCUGGCUUUUAGGCCAACCCUGUUUCGACCAGGAGCCUCUAAGCCUUAGUACUCCCAAUUUUUAACCCCUUUUUGAAAAACUACUGAUUUUAUGUCUUUUCUCUUUGAGAAAGAACAUAUACGAAAUUGCGAACAACUCUUAGCAACGGAUAUCUUGGUUCUC
rnacentral:misc_RNA from 1 species